GCUGGUUCCCGGCAGAGAGUGGUGGUGGCUUUACCCGCGACUGCCCUGGAGUCCUUGGCUGUAUCUCUGCUGCGGAGCCGAAGUUUGGUGGGCUCUCUUCCUAUCGGGGGCUGGAGCCGCAAGGAUCCAGGUUCUCUCUGAGGGGGCUCACGUGUCUACCUACUUUCAAGCUGUCCAACACUGAUGGCGUGUACUUAAGGGGCCGACGGCCUGGAAGACAUAAGUCGCCUGGACCACGCGGUGGACACCGGUUGGGGGCUGGAGACUGCCGACCCGGGCUGUGCGAAUGACAGCUGAGCUGGGACCUGGAGAAUGCAUCUGAAUUACCCAAAAGGAGAGUAGAGUGUUGCAUGCAGAGAACAGCGUAGGCAAAAUGGCCCGGCGAUAAUAAAGUUAGGUUCGGAGAACUGAAGUUAGUUAUGGCCAGAGCAGAGAUUGUGGGUGGGGAUAGGCGACAGACCAGGCUGGAGAAGGACACGGCGACUGCCUCACUCAGAUCCUAAUAACCGUAUCAGUUAGGAUGCCUUUGGCUACAAGUAACAGAAAACUCAACACAAGCUAGUUUAAACAACAUAAUCUUGGCUCACGUGACUGAAAAGUCCAGAAGCAGGUCUGGCCUCAGGGAAUGCCUGAUUCAGCAGCACAGAUGGUGUCAGAAGUCUGGCUUCUUUCUGUUCUUGGCUCUGCCUUAAUCCUUGGUGUCCCAACUCACCCACAGGCAGGCAGCUCUAGGUUCUGUCCACAUGGUUACAAAAUAGCUCUCA
rnacentral:lncRNA from 10 species